rnacentral:tRNA from 1 species
UCCGAUGUGGUGUAGGUGGUUAGCAUACUUGGCUUUCACCCAAGAGACUCGGGUUCGAGUCCCGGCAUCGGAA